UUCAGAAGUACGUGAAACCGUUGAGAGCCAAACGGGUGGCACCUAGGAGGUCGAACUGAGGCGAUUCACCUCGUCGGCAUGAGCCUGAACGUGAGGUGUGGGAUAUAAUUGUUAUCCUUUUGUAAGCGACUCGUGAAUUCGUUCACGGGCGCGCCUUCGUUUUCAUCGCUGAUGCUGGCGGGCGUAUUUCGCCUCACAGUAGGUCGCCGCGACCCGUUGUUCGGGGACGUCUGAGUGGCUCGAUUGGGAUUGGUACCCGGCUGCUGCUUAUUGGGCCACUUCGGUGGUGUAGUAGUACUGCACGUCGGGGAAACCCUCGGUGUCCUCCUGACUGUGCCCCACAACGGUGGUUGUUAUUGUCAGCAGCAGAGCUGGUCGGCGGAGACGCCGGGCAAUCUAUCGCGGCGUUUUCCUGUACGGUGGACCACCCGACCCGUCUUGAAACACGGACCAAGGAGUCUAACAUGUGUGCGAGUCAUUGGGUUUUGCUAAACUCAAAGGCGAAAUGAAAGUGAAAGCUGGGGUAGAGAGGAGUGAGUGAGUGAGCGAGCGAGGGAGUCUAUAGAAUGUUCGGAUGGAUAGAGGGAGAGACGGACGUUGCAGAUGGAGGGUUAGGCGAAGAAGUUUGCCGCCGAGGCCACCACUGUCGUCGUCAAUUCGUUGCCGCCGUGCUUCUUUUUCUUCUUCCUCGUCCUACUUUUUCUCGUAAAAUACUCUUGGUUCUCUUCUCCCGGGGCCGAUCCCAGGCCUGAGGUGGCAACACCAAGGUCCAAGCCCGCAUGAUGCGGGGGGGCGCAGGCCCGGGACUUGUCGUUGCAGUGUUGCGGUGGGAGCGCUCCUGUUCGUCCGCCUUCGCCUCUUAAACUUGACCGCGGUACACCUACGUGUGCGGCGUGCUCGUGGGCGAGUGAGCGUACGAUGCAGACGUUUCUACCUCUUCCGCUGCUGGCAAGUACCUUGAGCAGACAUGUUGGGACCCGAAAGAUGGUGAACUAUGCUCGGCCAGGAUGAAGCCAGAGGAAACUCUGGUGGAGGUCCGUAGCGAUUCUGACGUGCAAAUCGAUCGUCUGAGCUGGGUAUAGGGCGAA
rnacentral:rRNA from 1 species